GUGCAAGAGAAGAGAAGGUCGGAGAGAGAUACAAAUUAUGUCAUCAAGACCCAUGUAAAACACCUUGAAAAUGAAACAGGGAGGUGGUAUAUCAGCACAAACUUGACCUUUCAGUUGCAAAGCACUGCCCUGUAUCAACAGUUUGAAGAAAAAUAUGGAAGACCAUGCCUCUCAUCCAAUGAGGAAGCAACUCAAGGGUGCAGCGGCCACCGUGGCUGCCGCGGCCACCCAGUAGAACUUGCAGCCUCACCCCAUGCCCUUGAAGGGCGCUCCAGAAAUCUCACCAUCACCACUGGUAGCCACUGCGGCCACCCAGGAGUAGAACCUGCAGCCUCACCCUGUGCCCACGAAGAGGGCUCCAGAAACGUCACCAUCACCACUGGCAGCCACUGCGGCCAUCCAGGAGUAGAACCUGCAGCCUCACUCCCUGCCCAGGAAGGAUGCUCCAGAAACUUCACCAUCACCACUUUACCUCUUCCUCUCACCUCUGUCCCUCAGCAGCACCAAGAAAGACUUCUUUUUGUCUUGAAGUGUCUCCUCUGAGCCUCCUCCUUCCUCAUAGUUUCACCUCUGCCCAGCAGUCACACCUCAGCCUUGCUAUGUCCAUGAGAGCGCACCUGUGAAGUCUGAGGGCAUCAUCAGAGAUGAGGCGUGGUCUGUCCAAAACGCCUGGAGAGUCUCCUGGCUCCUGGAAUGCAAACAUGCAGCAGAAAGCUGAUUGCCGAAAGACACUGAGAGUUUAUGCCAG
rnacentral:lncRNA from 1 species